CUAAAUUUUGAGUCAAAAUUAAGUCUAAACUUAUGCUCUUGUUGGUAACAACGAUAGCAUUUUGAUUAUGAUAUCAAAUAAAUACUCAGUUAAAGAAAAAUGUUCAAACCUUCUCGUCUGCUGAUAGAGGACUGGCUACAAACAACUGAAGGUUCAGAAAUUCUCCGAUCCCUCUCUUCCGUCAAUGGCCUUCACCUAAAACCAUAUGGGUUACUGGAACGCCCAGCAUUUCCUUCAAGUUCUUCAGUUGAAGAUGCUAGCUACAAGCUUGUUGUUGUUGGGAAGAGCAGUGUUGGGAAGACUAGCACAAUAGCCAAGUUAUCUGGCCACCCCAUACCCAGUGUACACUGUGAGACAGCCGGUAUACAGGUGACAAGGAUGUACUGGCCAGUGAAAAUUGCUCACCUUAACAAAAUUGUUCUGAUGAAUUUGGCACUGUGGGAUACAGGAGAGCUGGCUGUCAAAAAAUUUGAUCACAUUUUACCUGCAUGCAAGAGUGAUGUUGAUGGCAUUCUAUUUUUGUUUUCAUUUGUUGACAAAGGCAGUUGGGAAGAAAUUCCUCACUUGAUUUCUCGACUGACAGAUCUCAAUGACAAAUUGGCAAAAAUUGUCAUUGGUACUAAAUUUGACCAGUAUGCACACAGUGAAGUAAGCCAACGAGAACUGCGAGAGUUUGAAUCCAGGUGGCAGAUGCCGGUUCUAAAGAUCAGCAACAACCCAUCGCAGGAGUCCACAUCAGGACUGACUGACAUCAUCCCUGUUUUAAAUUGUGUCUGUGAGAGGCUGUGGUACAGGGACGUGUUGAAAGAAGAGGCUAGCUAACUGUGGUACAGGGACGUGUUGAAAGAAGAGGCUAGCUAACUGUGGUACAGGGAUGUGUUGAAAGAAGAGGCUAGCUAACUGUGGUACAGGGACGUGUUGAAAGAAGAGGCUAGCUAACUGUGGUACAGGGAUGUGUUGAAAGAAGAGGCUAGCUAACUGUGGUACAGGGACGUGUUGAAAGAAGAGGCUAGCUAACUGUGGUACAGGGAUGUGUUGAAAGAAGAGGCUAGCUAACUAGAUGUGUGAGAGACUGUGGUACAGGGAUGUGUUGAAAGAAGAGGCUACCAGAGACUGUGGUACAGGAAUGUGAUGAAAGAAGAGGCUACCUAACUGUGGUACAGGAAUGUGUUGAAAGAAGAGGCUAGCUAACUGUGGUACAGGGAUGUGUUGAAAGAAGAGGCUAGCUAACUAGAUGUGUGAGAGACUGUGGUACAGGGAUGUGUUGAAAGAAGAGGCUACCAGAGACUGUGGUACAGGAAUGUGAUGAAAGAAGAGGCUACCUAACUGUGGUACAGGAAUGUGUUGAAAGAAGAGGCUAGCUAACUGUGGUACAGAAAUGUGUUGAAAGAAGAGGCUAGCUAACUGUGGUACAGGAAUGUGAUGAAAGAAGAGGCUACCUAACUGUGGUACAGGAAUGUGUUGAAAGAAGAGGCUAGCUAACUGUGGUACAGGAAUGUGUUGAAAGAAGAGGCUAGCUAACUGUGGUACAGGAAUGUGUUGAAAGAAGAGGCUAGCUAACUGUGGUACAGGAAUGUGUUGAAAGAAGAGGCUAGCUAACUAGAUGUGUGAGAGGGAUGUACCAACAGUCAUAACCAGCAAGACAGGGAAAACAGAUCUCUUCUCCCACAAUAUACAACUCACUUCUAGCAAACCUAUUUUCCAAAAACCAUACCCCACCCUGUUCUCAACGAAACAAGUUAUUCUAGAGGAAGUGAGGAAAAUGAAGCAGGCAGGGAUCAUAGAAAAAUCUAACUCUCCAUACGCAUCACCGGUGGUCCUGGUUCGAAAGAAAGACGGGUCUAACAGAUUUUGUAUAGACUACAGACAAAUUAACCCGAUAACGGUAACGGAUGCUGAACCGAUUCCGAAUCAGGAAAAAUUGUUUACCCAACUUUCUAAUGCUGCCUUUUUUCAAAAAACGAUCUUGUCAAAGGAUACUGGCAAAUACCAAUUGAUUUCAAACAAACUGGGAACUAUAUCAGUUUUUAUGCCAUUCGGGUUAUGCAACGCACCUUCCACUUUCGCUCAGUGCAUGCAUACAGUAUUAGAAGAUCACAAACAGCUUACAGUCCUUCAGUUCUCAAAACCUGUCAACAGCAGAUUAGCUAGAUGGGCCAUGACA